AUUGGUUCAUAAGGGUAUGACAGCCAUGGGUGCUUCAGAGCCUCUGAUGCCGAAGGACGCUUCUUUGGGUUUAUUUCAAGUAAAUGAGCAACAAAGUCGACGAAACCUUGAUCCCCCAUUGGCAACCGGUGCCUCAAGGAUGUCUUUUUUGGUAUCAGGUAUUCCAAUCUAUUGGUGUCCUGAUUCCUCUCAUAAAGCAUGUGAUUUUUCGUAAAAUACUUGUAGGUGUCCCGUCCUUUAGCCAGCAUAAUUUGAUCAAUUGGACCUAUGAUUCCAAUAACUCGUGCCAGUAAAGUUGCUGGUGAAUCAUUUUGGAAAAGUACAUUGCCUGUGCAAAGUUCUGCCAAGAUGCAGCCAAGGGACCAAAUAUCUAUCUUCUUAUCAUACGAAAGCCCCAAGAUAACCUCUGGUGCACGAUAGGAUCUGGAUUGAACAUAAGAGCACAGAUGAUCUGUCUCAAAACAGCUACUCCCAAGAUCAAUGACUUUUACCUCACAUCUACUAUAGCUUUUCACCAAUAUAUUCUCAGGCUUUAAAUCACAGUGUAUAAGGCCAAGCCCAUGCACAAACUGAAGUGCCUCCAAACACUGAAUGGUAAUAGACUGCAAUCUUGGACUGCAAUCUUGGCAUUGUAAAGUAAACCUCUCCUCCUGAUUCUCUAUUGAACUUAUGGAACUCGUACAAGUUUGCCUUGAGAAGUUCACAUACAAUUAACAAAUGCUCUCGGUAAUAGAAGUAAUCAUACAAUCUGAGAAUGUGGUACUUGUCAGCAGGAUCAUGCUUGUUGACAUACUUUAGAAGCUUUAUCUCGUCAAGACUCUGAUCAAAGAAGUCCUUGUUGUUUUUUAUAAUUUUAGACAUCCAUGCCUGUAUGGAGGUCAUGUGCUUGUAUAGCCUUACUGAAAGCAGCUGAUCCAAGAUACUCAGUAACAUGAUAACGCCCAGCUAUUACAGAAUUCAAAACAACAUGGAAGUUCUUGUCCUCUUCAAAGCCAGUUCUGUUUUUUCUAUGCACAAUCUUGAGGUUAAAAGUCUCAAAUUCCUCCUCCUGAGCCUUAAUUUGCCUUAAUUGCUCUUGCACAGCAGCAGCCUCUUCAUCCUCAAGUGAUGCCCCAGGAUCCUCUUCUCUUGCAAAGCCAAUUUCCUCAUCCUCUUCUUUUUUGGCAUGCUCUUGUUCUGCAUAACCAUAAUUUGAAAGUGAUGAGGGAGAAGAAGCUGCAGAUCUGACAGCAUUGACAUUAUUCUCAUCCCUAGAACUUUUGACAGUUGAAGAAUCACUGCUUUUCUGCCUCCAUGCUGCAAGCAUAUCAUCUGUCCCCGUUGAAGCAUUCAUUUGAUCACCAGUUUCAGCACCAAUAAUCGUUUUACUGU
rnacentral:misc_RNA from 1 species